rnacentral:tRNA from 1 species
GCCCCGGUAGCUCAGCUGGAUAGAGCAGCGGACUUCUAAUCCGCAGGUCCCAGGUUCGAAUCCUGGUCGGGGCG